CGUUUCGGGUGCCCGGCGUCCGCGCCGGGAGAAUUGGAAAGUUCGGUAGAAAACCGACGCUGGCCCGCAACCGUGAGAGGGGACGACUCCGCGUAGGCCACUGCGGCCCUUGGCCGUGGGAAGGUGCGGAGAAGGAUGAUCCUCGAGCCGGGAAGCCAGCCCGAAACGUU
rnacentral:ncRNA from 1 species